rnacentral:Y_RNA from 1 species
AUUUGGUCCAAAGGUAGUGAAUUAGCUCAACUGUUUGUUCACAGUCAGGUACAGAGUGAGCUCUUUAUUCUAUACUUUCCCCUCCUCACCACUGCACCUGACUGGUCAA